GCGUACAGCAGAAAAUUAAAAGUUUUAAUGAUGUUUUGUAUUUCCAAGCAAUAACUUUAAAUAAUGAAUGUUUGGCAAUGGCCGCGCCCGCGGAAUGGUGACGACACCUAACUGACGAGCCGAUAUAAAAGGUACAUUAAACCUUUCAUAUCGGCUCGUUCACGACUUCGGUCUUAUUGGCGGCAAGCGGCGCGGCGUGGACUAGCGGUGCAUGUACACAGCAAAAUUUAAAAAUAAAUUGUUUUUAUGUUGGUGUCUAUAUUGAAAUGAAUAGUUUCAAGUAGACUUGGUAUAGAAUAAGUUGCCGGCAGGCUGCGUUACGCCUGGAUACUACUUAUUUAUUUACCACAAAUGCAAACAUUGGGCAUUACCACGGUGUAUCUAUAGAGUACACAGAGAAGCCGGAACAAAUCAAUUCCAACCAGUACAGUAUUGUGAUGGAGAAUUAAUUUAGUCAACAUAUUGGAACACGUCCAAUUACACAGUGAACCAAUUAACUGCGGCGCGCUGUCAAACAAAUACAUAAUGCGCGCAUACACGCGCCGCGUACGUACGCGUACACACGAUGAGUAUCGAGCCAUUAUGUGGCGCGCGUGUGAUCGAGCGAGCUCCAUUUAACGUGAUUAACGCACAACUUAGGCUGAUUACAAAGCUCAACGAGCAGCGCCGACGUCUAAGAACCGGCGCUCACUGUCGGAAUGGCACGCCGCGCCAUUCUGCUGAAAGCCCAGCCACUGUGACGUGGCCGCGAACUGACGACGUGGAAUGAAACGGCACGCCGGCAUCGGGACGACACCGACAAAGUCACAAAGUAGGCACUUGUACACUGCGGACAGAUUUAUGCGAAGUCGGUAUCGACGCGCCUCCACUUCUGGUUCUUCCUCUUGGGGGCGCCGGCGCCGGCCGCGCCGGGCGACGUGCGCGCGCGCUGCUUGCCGUCGC